ACCCCUUUUGGAGCACGCGCCGUGAGACUAUACCUUAGGGAAGUGAGAGAUGCACAAGCUAAGGCAAGAGGGAUAGCCUACGAGAAGAAGAAAAGAAAGAAGCCACAGCAGCAACAGCAACAGCAACAGUUGCAAUCUUCAAAUGAUNNAUUCAGCAAGGUGGUAGUGCCGCUGGUAGAGUCGGUGACCGCCGUGGUGGAUUUGUUGAAAGAAACAUGGCAAGUAGGGGCAUAGUUAAUAUGGGGAAUUUCUCUAUACUGAACUAAGGGGAUGUUGAUGGGUUUGGUGAUAUAGAGGCUUAGUGAUGCUAGGG
rnacentral:misc_RNA from 1 species